AGUUUUGUAUUCAAUGAUGAUUUUAAAUUGCAAAUUUAAAGGUGAUAAAAAAAUCCAAAACUU
rnacentral:tRNA from 1 species